CCCUUAGAUGUUCUGGGCUGCACGCGCGCUACACUGACAUGUCCAGCGAGCUCCCAACCUGCUCGGCAAAGAAUGGGUACCCUUUUUAACGCAUGUCGUGAUGGGGAUAGAUUAUUGCAAUUGUUGAUCUUGAACGAGGAAUUCCUAGUAAGUGCAAGUCAUUAGCUUGUGCUGAAUACGUCCCUGCCCUUUGUACACACCGCCCGUCGCUCCUACCGAUUGAGUGCUCAGGUGAGCCAUUCGGACUUUCAUCAUGCUGGUUUCCAGUUUUGAUGAAGGAAAGUCUUGCGAACCUUAUCAUUUAGAGGAAGGAGAAGUCGUAACA
rnacentral:rRNA from 1 species